UCCCUCAUAGCUUAGUCUGUAAAGAAUCUGCCUGCAAUGCAAGAGACCCAGGUUAGAUUCCUGGAUUGGGAA
rnacentral:tRNA from 1 species